rnacentral:rRNA from 1 species
AAACCGGAUGCAUACAAACAGUGGGAGCCUGGAAACGGGUGACUGCGUACCUUUUGUAUAAUGGGUCAGCGACUUACAUUCAGUAGCGAGCUUAACCAGAUAGGGGAGGCGUAGCGAAAGCGAGUCCGAACAGGGCGUUGAGUUGCUGGAUGUAGACCCGAAACCGGAUGAUCUAUCCAUGGCCAGGAUGAAGGUGCGGUAACACGCACUGGAGGUCCGAACCCACGUCUGUUGCAAAAGACGGGGAUGAGCUGUGGAUAGGGGUGAAAGGCUAAACAAAUCCGGAAAUAGCUGGUUCU